ensembl:lncRNA
GAUGAAGCUAGAAGUUGUGUUUAGUUCUGUGUGAUCCCAAAUCCCCAUUUUCAGACUAUGAACCCUACCCACAUUGCAUUUUCAUCAUGUUCAAAGGGUCACAAAACCAUCAGGUGAAGGAUGACCUCCAGGUGUCCAGCAGAAAGGAGCCACCUUACCUUUGAAGACAAGUGACCAGGAAGAAUUCUAACAAGAAGAAUUAUGGACAGUCAACUCUUGAGAGGUGUUGUGAGCCAGCUCCAGAACACCACCACCCUUAUCCAUCCUGGCAUCUAUGUAAGUUAGUCACUUUAUUAACUUGAUCUAAGUGAGUUGAUUCUGUUUCUUGUCAUACAUUUGACUGCCACUGAUGAUUUCCGUUUUUUCUCUUUAGCACAUUGGAACAUAAAAAUAAUAAUUACCAAGUCAAAAAUAUUAACAGCAUGGCAGCAAGCAUCCUUUCAUAUAUAUUUUUCAUAAUCUUCAAAUAUUGUCUAUAUACAAUGAAAUAUAGUCAUAAAAAAGAAUGAAAAUCUGUCGUUUGCUAG